UACGGGGGGAGCAAGCGUUGUUCGGAUUUACUGGGCGUAAAGGGCGCGUAGGCGGCCACCGCAAGUCGACUGUGAAAUCUCCGGGCUUAACCCGGAAAGGUCAGCCGAUACUGCGGGGCUAGAGUGCAGAAGGGGCAACUGGAAUUCUCGGUGUAGCGGUGAAAUGCGUAGAUAUCGAGAGGAACACCGGUGGCGAAGGCGGCAUCCUGGACCGGCAUUGACGCUGAGGAGCGAAAGCCAGGGGAGCAAACAGG
rnacentral:rRNA from 1 species